CCUACGGGCGGCAGCAGUGAGGAAUAUUGGUCAAUGGUCGGGAGACUGAACCAGCCAAGCCGCGUGAGGGAGGAAGGUACAGAGCAUCGUAAACCUCUUUUGUCAGGGAACAAAGACUCGGACGCGUCCCCGCAUGAGUGUACCCGAAGAAAAAGCAUCGGCUAACUCCGUGCCAGCAGCCGCGGUAAUACGGAGGAUGCGAGCGUUAUCCGGAUUUAUUGGGUUUAAAGGGUGCGCAGGCGGUCUGUUAAGUCAGCGGUCAAAGCCCGGGGCUCAACCCCGGCCCGCCGUUGCAACUGGGAGUGUCGAGUGGGAGAGAGGUAUGCGGAAUGCGCGGUGUAGCGGUGAAAUGCAUAGAUAUCGCGCAGAACGCCGAUUGCGAAGGCAGCAUGCCGGCCCCACACUGACGCUGAGGCACGAAAGCGUGGGUAUCGAACAGGAUUAGAUACCCUUGUAGUC
rnacentral:rRNA from 1 species